rnacentral:rRNA from 1 species
GACAGAGGAUGCAAGCGUUAUCCGGAAUGAUUGGGCGUAAAGCGUCUGUAGGUGGCUUUUCAAGUCCGCCGUCAAAUCCCAGGGCUCAACCCUGGACAGGCGGUGGAAACUACCAAGCUGGAGUACGGUAGGGGCAGAGGGAAUUUCCGGUGGAGCGGUGAAAUGCAUUGAGAUCGGGAGGAACACCAGUAGCGAAGGCGGCUCGCUGGGCCAUUCCUGACGCUGAGACGCGAAAGCUAGGGGAGCGAACAGG